rnacentral:tRNA from 1 species
GGAAAAAUGGCCCAGUGGUUAGGGCACUCACCUAGAACUUGGGAAAACCUGGGUUCAAGCCCCUGUUCUGCCA